CAUGGUGUUGUCCAUGACAGGUUGACAAUGCAUGUUAUUGUUAACAGUGAAUGUAUGGUAUGUGAUGGAGUAAUAGAUUGUUGAUAGAGUAAAAAGGGGGAAAAAAAGGAAAAGGUUGUGAUAUAAAUGCGAAAGAGGUGGGAUUAUUGGGAGAAGUAGAAGAGUGAAUGAAGUUCAGAAGUGAACACAGGAGCAGUAAGAAGAUGAAGAACAGAAACAAAGCAUUUGAUUUUGGUGUGGAAGGCCCACCCCCACGCGUCACUCCAGCCACCAUGCUACUGAGUGAGUAGGUGACACAACAUCAACAAGUGGAUGGAGUUCUGCUUGCUUCGGAAGUUGAAAACUUUGAACACAACACAAGAACCGCUUACCAGGGAGACACCCCAAAACCACUCCCUCCUCAAAACCGCUUACCCUUCUCCAAUAUUACUUCUUCCUAAUGCAUAUCAUAUCAUAACAUAACACUACCAUUAUUGCUGUUGCUGUUGCUAGCAUCAUCUUCCUUCUCUC
rnacentral:sRNA from 1 species